rnacentral:sRNA from 1 species
CUCAGGGAGUAAUGUGGUCAUUGCAUCCCGUAAGUUGGAGAGAUUGAAGUCUGCGGCAGAUGAACUGCAGGCCAACCUACCUCCCACAAAGCAGGCACGAGUCAUUCCCAUACAAUGCAACAUCCGGAACGAGGAGGAGGUGAAUAAUUUGGUCAAAUCUACCUUAGAUACUUUUGGUAAGAUCAAUUUCUUGGUGAACAAUGGAGGAGGCCAGUUUCUUUCCCCUGCUGAACACAUCAGUUCUAAGGGAUGGCACGCUGUGCUUGAGACCAACCUGACGGGUACCUUCUACAUGUGCAAAGCAGUUUACAGCUCCUGGAUGAAAGAGCAUGGAGGAUCUAUCGUCAAUAUCAUUGUCCCUACUAAAGCUGGAUUUCCAUUAGCUGUGCAUUCUGGAGCUGCAAGAGCAGGUGUUUACAACCUCACCAAAUCUUUAGCUUUGGAAUGGGCCUGCAGUGGAAUACGGAUCAAUUGUGUUGCCCCUGGAGUUAUUUAUUCCCAGACUGCUGUGGAGAACUAUGGUUCCUGGGGACAAAGCUUCUUUGAAGGGUCUUUUCAGAAAAUCCCCGCUAAACGAAUUGGUGUUCCUGAGGAGGUCUCCUCUGUGGUCUGCUUCCUACUGUCUCCUGCAGCUUCCUUCAUCACUGGACAGUCGGUGGAUGUGGAUGGGGGCCGGGGUCUCUAUACUCACUCGUAUGAGGUACCAGAUCAUGACAACUGGCCCAAGGGAGCAGGGGACCUUUCUGUUGUCAAAAAGAUGAAGGAGACCUUUAAGGAGAAAGCUAAGCUCUGAGCUGAGGAAACAAGGUGAC